AGAAGAAGGGGAGGGAAAAAUGUUAACAAAUUAAAAAAAAAACUGAAUAAAUAAAUACAAAAGUAAAAUCUAGGUGUAGUAUAACCCAACUACACAACGACCUCAUUGUUCUUAUUUAUUUCUUAAUAUGUAAAUCUAGUAAGCAUGAAUUUCGAGUGUCAUCGCAAAGAUGCUUUUGCUCAUGAAAGAAGUAGAGAAUGUAAACAAGAAAAAAAAAAUCACAUUAAUUAAAUGUUCAGUGUCAAGUUGUCUGCUUUUAUUUUGAAAGCAGGGUUUCUUUGUCUAUAUUCCAUUCCAAGGUGUUAAGGAUCCCACUGUGAGUUUGCAUAGGAACCAAAUGUGUAAUAAUGAUAUUAGUAAAACUCAGAGCCCACAACAAGAGCAGCUACACCGAUGCUAAUGAGCAGCGUACAUUAUGAACACACAUAAUGGUUACAUCGUGAUUUAACGUAGCUUGUUGAGGAUCCAUCUUCUUAUCGUCUGGGUUAUCUCAUGCAAAGAAAUUUGUGCCGUAUUGAGGUAAAGGGUUCCCGCCCGCUGCGUCCUCAGUGUUCAGACCAACUCCUACAAGAUAAUCGUAAGACACAAACCAGGGUUUGUACAUUCAAACCCACCUGGGAAAAAAAAAAAGAAAAAUCUGAGAUGACUCGAGGGACUACUUUUAGCUGCGGAUGAAGAUGCAUUGCUUUUUAGUGUCCCCCCCCCAUCUCGUUUUGUCGUUUAAAAUUUUAACGGUUUUAAAUGACAGUGUGGCUCUGUAAGCUAAAGUAUCCCAGUUAUUCUUCAUCGGGUCAGUGUCUCAUGCGUUCAGGCCAGUUUAUCUUGGCCUUUAAGUAGACCAAUUCAGGAAAGGUGUACUUGCCAUUGCCGCCGGUGAGGCGUUCAGGAAGCCUCGGUCACUUCUGCACCGGCUUUCUGUCAGUUGUAAACGUGACAGUGCUCCAUAGAUUCUCCGAGGGGUUUAGGUGAGCCAAGUUUCCCGACCAAACAAGCACAUUUUGGUCCUCAAAGCAGGUGUUUGUGCUUUUCUCAGUUGCUCGUGUGGCAUUUUCCACCACAUGUUUUCCUUCCAUUUAACAUUCUAUCAGUUACUCUUGGAUUCUGUGCUCUGUGUAUGUUACUAUUCAACAUUGAGAAUUCUGGGUUUUCAUCAGCUGUA